rnacentral:tRNA from 1 species
UCUAUACGACUUAUUAAGGUGGCAGAGCACGGUAAUUGCAAGAAGCCUAAAACUUCAACCUCGAAAGUUCAAGUCUUUCUCUUAAUUAU